rnacentral:rRNA from 1 species
GACGAACGCUGGCGGCGUGCUUAACACAUGCAAGUCGAACGGAAAGGCCCUGCUUUUGUGGGGUGCUCGAGUGGCGAACGGGUGAGUAACACGUGAGUAACCUGCCCUUGACUUUGGGAUAACUUCAGGAAACUGGGGCUAAUACCGGAUAGGAGCUCCUGCUGCAUGGUGGGGGUUGGAAAGUUGCGGCGGUUGGGGAUGGACUCGCGGCUUAUCAGCUGGUUGGUGGGGUAGUGGCUUACCAAGGCUUGGACGGGUAGCCGGCCUGGGAGGGAGACAGGCACCAUAGGACUACGGGACGGACCAGAAGGCAAACGGGGGCAAGGGGCGGGAAACUUACCCAAAGGGGCGGAGUCCGGGAGGAAGACCUCCGGGUCGGGAAGCACGGUUUCGGGUUGUAAACCGCUUUCGCCUGUGACGAAGCGUGAGUGACGGUAAUGGGUAAAGAAGCACCGGCUAACUACGUG